rnacentral:sRNA from 1 species
AUGAAGAGAUUAGGAGACGAUGGAAGCUCUUCGCAAUCUAAGUUGCCGUCUGGUUCUUCGAGUGGAGACUCGUAAGUUUCUUUCUCUUCUCUGUACGCUUUUCUCUUUUGUUCUUUUUUACAGUUUUUUUUUUUGCUUGAUUCUUUAAGUUCUAUUUGGUUUGCUAGAGAAUGUUUUGUGUGAGGAAAGUAUUUUUCUUUUUGCUUGGUGAUUUUUUUUUUUAUAUAUAUAAUGGAGUUAGCUGAAUUUUUGUGAGGGAAGAGAGAUAUGGGUUAUGUUAGAAUUUGAAUCAUGAUCUUAGCCGGUUUUGUUAAUGGGUUCUGCUUAUUGUAAUUGGAUUUAAUUUUUAAGAAACUUAAUGUGCGAUAAAUUUUUAAUUGAAAGCUUGGGAAUUGGAAAUUUUUUUUUUUUCCUUUUGAAUCCUAGUUUUCCAAGCAAAUGAGAGCAGGCAAUGUCACUGAGGAGAAAUUUGAACUCUGGGAAUUAGUUUGCUGUUAAAAUUGACUGGGUAUCAGCAAGUUAUAAAAUUUUGUACUCUUAUAGAGAUCACAUUGAUAGUAUGAAUAUGUUGCGUUUAUGGAAUAGCUGUGCUAUAGAUGUUUAUUGUUCAGGAUGAAUUGUGGUUAUGCUAAUUUUAUAUAUAUAAUGUGAAGAUAUGGGCAAUCCCAAGUCCCUGCAAGUGGAGAAGGUAGUGAUCUUGGUUGUACUGAAGGGAAACUAACAAUAUAUGAAUGCUUAAGCUAUCUCAAGGAAGUGAAGGAGACGUUUCAAGACCAAAGAGAGAAAUAUGACAUGUUCCUUGAGGUCUUAAAAGAUUUUAAGGCUCAAAGGUACAGUAAUCGCAUUUAUGAAGUUUUUGUCUUGGAUUAAUGGAACAUUGCAUUUAAAACCUAACAGAUUAUGCCAUCGUUUGUUCUUGUAGAACUGAUACGGUGGGUGCCAGUGCCAGAGUGAAGGAAUUAUUAGAAGGCCAUAAUAACUUGAUUUCUGGGUUUAACAUCUUCUUGCCAAAGGGGUGUGAAAUAACCCUUGAGGAUGAUGAGGCUGCUUUAAAAAAGAAGGUUGAAUUUGAAGGAGCUAUCAACUUUGUGAACAAGAUAAAGGUGAAAAUACUGUUUUGCUCUGUUGAAUUUUAACUGCAAAUGUUAGUUCUUUGUGGUUUAAUGGUGACCUUUGUUCCUACAGAGAUGCUUUCAGAAUGAUGAACAUGUUUAUAAAGCAUUCUUAGACUGUUUGAAUACGUACAAGAAGGAGCACAAAGACAUAAAUAAGGUCCACAAUGAGGUAAAUAUAUGCUAUGGUUCUGUUUGUUUCACUGCUCUUGUUUUGGAAAAUAUUUUUUCGUUAAUGUAACUGUCAGUAUUCUUAGAGGUUUUUGUUUUACAAUUUCAGGUUUCCAUUCUUUUUGAAGGUCAUCCAGAUUUGCUUGAUGAGUUCACAACAUUUAUUCCGGAAGCUGCAUCUGUUUCAGCAAAGAAUCUUGGUUUGUGAAUUGUGAACAAGAUAAAGGUGAAUAUAAUGUUUUGCUUUGUGAAUUGUGAACAAGAUAGAGGUAAAAAUAUAGUGUUUUUCUCAGUUGAAUUUUAACAGAAAAUGUUGGUUUCUUUGGUUUAAUGAUGAAUUUUAUUCCUACAGACACUUUCAAAAUGAGGUACUAGCUGUGGUAAACAUAUGUUUGCUCACUUCUCUUGUUUUACUGGAUAAGUUUUCUUAUUCAUGUAAUUUUCAGUAUUUUUGUAGCUUUGAUUUUUUGUUUUCCUAGAGUUGUUGUUUAAUAUUUUUAGGCUGCCAUCCUUUUCUAUGGUUACCCUGAUUUGCUUGAUGAGUUCACAACAGUUUUACCAAAAGCAGCAUCGCUUUUAGCACAGAAUGCCCCAUAUCUAAGAAAUUAAUUUUUAACAUACAUGUGGAAACAAGUCUUUGGAUACUCUCCAUUUGGAAUCUAUCCAUUUCAUGGAUGGAUAACAUGAUUUAAAUGACACUCGAUACAUUGUCAAAUCCAAGGAGGAAAAAAAAGUAACCUGAAAUGGAUACAAGAUCAUGUUACGUUUCUUCAUUUUAUUCAUAAUGGUAAGCCAAUAAUCAUUUUCUUUUAGCAUCGUUUCUUCCCAUUUUAAUUGUGAUCUUAUUGUUGUCCAUCCAGAGCUGGACGAUGACAAAGCAAUGAAAAAUUACCUGCAAUCAAAUUUCAAUAUAAUUUUUCUAUGUUUGAAUAUUGGUAAUUUAUUGAAUUUUUUUUCCUUAACUAAUAGGUACCAAUGCUCACCGGGGGCUGUUUGGGAUAAACACAAACUUUUCUGUUGCAUUUUGGGUCAAUAACUUAAUUGUUUGUUUGUUGAGUAUGGAAAUACAAUAAAUCUAAUGACAUACAUAUUGUUUCAUAAAUAACUCUGAUGAGAACAAUUUUUACAAUAUUUUUCACAAAUGCACUUCAACUCUUUAUUGGUUUUGUCUUAGCCAAUUAUUAGUUUCAUUUUAUUAUCUAUCAUUAACAACUUGUCACUUUCAUAGAUAUGAAAAUUGUUGUUACUUAAGAGGGAUUUUUUUUUUUUUUUAAUAGCUAUGCUUUUUAAUUUUGAAAAGUUAUAGGGACACGACUUUGACGCGGUCCAAAGUGAGUGGUGAAAAAUGAGGGUCCAUGUGUUAGUAAUUGUCAAUUACUCACAAUCAACCAUUUUAGCAAGUUGUGGUAAAAGUUAUGACAAAUGGUAUAGUCAUCGAAACACUUAUUUAUUUUUGGGGCAAAUUACACUUUCACUCUAAUUUUUCACCCUAAUUACACUUAACCUUCUGAACUAUCAAACACAUGAUUUACCAACCCCCCCCCCUCCAAAAAAAAUUAUAAUAAUGUUUUAAUGUCACCCUUAUGCCCUUUUUUUUUAAUAUAUUAUAUACGAAGGAAUUUAGCAUUAAAAUGCCAAUUCACCCAUCUCAAAAAUUAGUCUUCAAUGCUAAUAGAGUGGUGUCUAUUAUACACAUUAUAGUGUACUUAUAGUAUGCACAAGUUGCAAUUUACAAGGCAAUCAUGACUUGUGUGUACCAUGUGUACACUAAUGUGUAUGCACUAGUAAUUAUCUUUUUUAAUGUGUGCGCACUAGUAAUUAUCCUUUUUAAUAUUGGAAAAGUUAACGGAUGUUCUAAGAGCAUUUAUUUAAGAAAUUUUUUUAGAAAUUUUUUUUGAGAAAAAAAAAAUUGUUAUUUUUUACGGCUUUUUAUGUUUUUCAUAAAAGUACUAUUAAAAUUUUUCUAAAAUUGUCUAUUAACAAAUGCCUAGCCUUUUCAAAGAGGAAAAAAAAUGUCCUAAGGGCACCCAUUACAAUAACAUAUGGGUCCCUUGCCAAAAAACCCACUGCACUUGUAGAGAUCUGUUCAAAUUUUUUUGAUUCAUUCAUACUAAAGAAUAGAAGGCAUCAUAGUAGCAAAUAGCUUAUAAAGUGGUAUAAACAAGUAGUACAGUUCUACAUAAGGAGGAACAUUCAAAAAGACAAAAAUACUCGGAUUGGGGCUAACGCAUUGACUUUUUUCGCAAUCACCAAGUCAGAUAUCAUUCUAUCCAAAAUUAAUCAUAAAAUUCAUUGUAAUACGAAUUGAAUAGUAAAUAACAUCUAAUUAGCAAGAAUGUUUGUUAGUAACAGAAAGAAUGUAAUUAUCCAAUAAUUAAAAUUUCAAAAUAUGUAGUUAUUUUAAUUGUUAAUAAACCAUCAUAAAAAUUAAUUGUUUUUUUUUUUCAUAAAAAGUUUCUAAAAAUAUUUUCUAGAGCAUUCGUUAGCUUUUACCUAUAAGAGAAACCCCCAAAUUUGAAUAUCUUUUUUCCUAACUAACCAAUCUUUCUUUUUCUUUUUUCUUUUUUUGAGAAAGUUUUAACUAACCAAUCUAAUCACUUGAUAAUGAUUUCUUUUUUAAAACACUAUAUUGAAUUCAACCAUUUAUAGUUUCUAAAAAAAAUCAACAGUUUACAUCAUUUGGCUUAAUAAUUGUCAUAAGUAGAUAGUAAUUUAUAUAUACAUAUAUAUAUAAUAUAUUAUACGUGGCAAGUGUUGUCCCAAGGACCAACGGGUCUAGACCCCAAGUGUGUCCAUAUAAGUAGACGUUAACAUCAAAAUGGGAGGGAAAAAAAAAAAAAACAGAAGCCGCGUGGAGAAGAGAGCAAGAAAGAGAGACAGAGAGAAGUGUUGGUGCAAACAAGAAGUAAAGCCUGUAAGUUAUACUUCUUUUUACUGUUUGUUUCUCUAAAUUCAGAUAGCGAAAAAUGAAUUCCUAACUUCUGAUUCCUAUUUCCAACAGCAAGAUUUCACUCCCAAAAUCAUUUUCCAGUGCUUACACUAUAGUUUCUUUCUUGCAUCUCUUUUAUUUUCUUUCCCGAUGUUCUGCAACCUGCAAGAGCUGGUUUUCUUUGGUUUCUUUCUUUCUUAUCCUUCUUGGGCAAACAAGUUUGCUUUAACUGCUUCUUACUGAAGAGAUAUGUCAUUCAACUCUGCUACAUCCCCUGAAACUCUUUUUUCUUUCAUGGAAGAUAUAUGCUUUUUGUAGUUCUUAUUAUUAAUUCCCAAAUUCUUAUAGGGUCUCUUAUUUUAUGUUUCUUCGUUUCUUUUUUUCUUGGUUAGUGACUUGAGAUUUGAGAAUUUCGUGGAGGAUUAGUUUGGAAAUGAAGAGAUUAAGAGAUGAUGGUAGCUCUUUGCAGUCUGGUUUUUCAAGUGGAGACUCGUAAGUUUCUUUCUUUGUAUGCUUUUCUCUUAUGUGUUUUUUUUUUUUACAAUUAUUUUUCUAGGUAGAAUUUUUUAUUCCUUAAGUUCUGUUUGUAAUUUUAGUUUUUUUGCCUUUUCGUUUAACCUUUGUAAUGCUUUUGCUUGGUUUUGUAAUGGGUUCUGCUUUUCUGUAAUUGGAAUUUAAAUUUAGGUGUCUUGUGACAUAUGAUAUGAAAGCUUGGAAGUUUUUCCUUUUGUGGGAUUUUUUUUUUCUUUUUGUUGAUACCGUAUCAGCAAGUUAUAAACUUUUGUACUCUCAUAGAGAUCACAUUGAUUAGUAUGAAUACGUUAUGUUUAUGGAAUAUUUGUACUAUAGAUGUAGUGGAGGCAGAGGAGGCAGUGAUCAAACGGAAAAUGAUGCCUCAACCUAUCUCAAGGAAGUGAAGGAAACGCUUCAAUACCAAAGAGAGAAAUAUAAGGUGUUCCUUAUGGUCAUGAAAUUUUUUUUUGCUCGAAGGUACAGUAAUUGCAUGUAUGAAGAUUUUGUCUUGGAUUAAUGGACAUGCAUCUAAAACCUAACGGAUUAUGCUAUUGUUUGUUCUUCCAGAACUGAUGCUUCUAAAGUCAUUGCCAAAGCGAAGGAAUUAUUUGAAGGGCAUAAUAACUUGAUUUCUGGGUUUAACAUCUUCUUGCGAAAGGCCCUUGACAUUAGUGAAUUUUGGAGAGCUAUAAUUAUGAUAAAGGUGAAAUUAUUGUUUUGCUCUGCUGAAUUUCAACUGCAAAUGUUUAUUCCUAGCGUUUUAAUGAUGACCUUUGUUCCUACAGGAGUGCUUUCAAAAUGAUGUAACUGUUUGGUAUGAUAAUCUUAGACAUUCUAAAUGAGUUCCAGAAGGGGCACAAGGACAUAAAUACCGUCCACAAUCAGGUAAAUACAUGCUAUGGUUCUGUUUGUUUCACUGCUCUUGUUUUGAAAGGUUUUCUUGUUUAUGUAAUUUUCAGUAAUCUUAAGAGGUUUUUGAUUUACAAUUUUCAGAUUUCCAUUCUUCUUAAUGGUCAUGCGGAUUUAAUUGAUGAGUUCACUAGAUUUCUUCCUAAAACUGAACCUGUUUCAGCAGAGAAAUGGUAUGCCAAUAAAUCUAUUUCUUUCAUCAUUCUAUCAUUACUUCCAAUGUUAAUAGUGCUUACCAGCCAGAGCUUGACAAUGACAAAGCAAUAAAAAAAUUCCAAUGUUCAUUGCUUAAAUCCACACCCCUUUUUUUUUGGGGUCCCCCCCCCCCCCCCCCCAAAAAAAAAUUAUAAUAAUGUUUUAAUGUCACCCUUAUGCCCUUUUUUUUUAAUAUAUUAUAUACGAAGGAAUUUAGCAUUAAAUUGCCAAUUCACCCAUCUCAAAAAUUAGUCUUCAAUGCUAAUAGAGUGGUGUCUAUUAUACACAUUAUAGUGUAUUCAUAGUAUGCACAAGCUACAAUUUACAAGGCAAUCAUGACUUGUGUGUACCAUGUGUACACUAAUGUGUAUGCACUAGUAAUUAUCUUUUUUAAUGUGUGCGCACUAGUAAUUAUCCUUUUUAAUAGUGGAAAAGUUAACGGAUGUUCUAAGAGCAUUUAUUUAAGAAAUUUUUUUAGAAAUUUUUUUUGAGAAAAGAAAAAAAAAAUUGUUAUUUUUUACGGCUUUUUAUGUUUUUCAUAAAAGUACUAUUAAAAUUUUUCUAAAAUUGUCUAUUAACAAAUGCCCAGCCUUCUCAAAGAGGAAAAAAAUGUCCUAAGGGCACCCAUUACAAUAACAUAUGGGUCCCUUGCCAAAAAACCCACUGCACUUGUAGAGAUCUGUUCAAAUUUUUUUGAUUCAUUCAUACUAAAGAAUAGAAGGCAUCAUAGUAGCAAAUAGCUUAUAAAGUGGUAUAAACAAGUAGUACAGUUCUACAUAAGGAGGAACAUUCAAAAAUACUCGGAUUGUGGCUAGCGCAUUGACCAAUCACCAAGUCAGAUAUCAUUCUAUCCAAAAUUAAUCAUAAAAUUCAUUGUAAUACGAAUCGAAUAGUAAAUAACAUCUAAUUAGCAAGAAUGUUUGUUAGUAACAGAAAGAACAUAAUUAUCUAAUAAUUAAAUUUUCAAAAUAUGUAGUCAUUUUAAUUGUUAAUAAACCAUUUUAGAAAGUUUUGACGCCACUUUCAUGGAGAAUAUAAAAAAAAAAAUUAAAAAAACCAUCAUAAAAAUUAAUUGUUUUUUUUUUUCAUAAAAAGUUUCUACAAAUAUUUUCUAGAGCAUUCGUUAACUUUUACCUAUAAGAGAAACCCCCAAAUUUGAAUAUCUUUUUUUCUAACUAACCAAUCUUUCUUUUUCUUUUUUCUUUUUUUGAGAAAGUUUUAACUAACCAAUCUAAUCACUUGAUAAUGAUUUCUUUUUUAAAACACUAUAUUGAAUUCAACCAUUUAUAGUUUCUAAAAAAAAUCAACAGUUUACAUCAUUUGGCUUAAUAAUUGUCAUAAGUAGAUAGUAAUAUAUAUAUAUAUAUAUAUAAUAUUAUACGUGGCAAGUGUUUUCCUAACGGCCAACGGGUCUAGACCCCAAGUGUGUUCAUAUAAGUAGACGUUAACAUCAAAAUGGGAGGAAAAAAAAAAACAGAAGCCGCGUGGAGAAGAGAGCAAGAAAGAGAGACAGAGAGAAGUGUUGGUGCAAACAAGAAGUAAAGCCUGUAAGUUAUACUUCUUUUUACUGUUUGUUUCUCUAAAUUUCGGAUAGCGAAAAAUGAAUUCCUAACUUCUGAUUCCUAUUUCCAACAGCAAGAUUUCACUCCCAAAAUCAUUUUCCAGUGCUUACACUAUAGUUUCUUUCUUGCGUCUCUUUUAUUUUCUUUCCCGAUGUUCUGCAACCUGCAAGAGCUGGUUUUCUUUGGUUUCUUUCUUUCUUAUCCUUCUUGGGCAAACAAGUUUGCUUUAACUGCUUCUUACUGAAGAGACAUGUCAUUCAACUCUGCUACAUCCCCUGAAACUCUUUUUUCUUUCAUGGAAGAUAUAUGCUUUUUUGUAGUUCUUAUUAUGAAUUCCCAAAUUCUUAUAGGGUCUCUUAUUUUAUGUUUCUUCGUUUCUUUUUUUCUUGGUUAGUGACUUGAGAUUUGAGAAUUUCGCGGAGGAUUAGUUUGGAAAUGAAGAGAUUAAGAGAUGAUGGUAGCUCUUUGCAGUCUGGUUUUUCAAGUGGAGACUCGUAAGUUUCUUUCUUUGUAUGCUUUUCUCUUUUGUGUUUUUUUUUUUUUUUACAUUUAUUUUUCUAGGUAGAAUUUUUUAUUCCUUAAGUUCUGUUUGUAAUUUUAGUUUUUUUGCCUUUUCAUUUAACCUUUGUAAUGCUUUUGCUUGGUUUUGUAAUGGGUUCUGCUUUUCUGUAAUUGGAAUUUAAAUUUAGGUGUCGUGUGACAUAUGAUAUGAAAGCUUGGAAGUUUUUCCUUUUGUGGGAUUUUUUUUUUCUUUUUGUUGAUACCGUAUCAGCAAGUUAUAAACUUUUGUACUCUCAUAGAGAUCACAUUGAUUAGUAUGAAUACGUUAUGUUUAUGGAAUAUUUGUACUAUAGAUGUAGUGGAGGCAGAGGAGGCAGUGAUCAAACGGAAAAUGAUGCCUCAACCUAUCUCAAGGAAGUGAAGGAAACGCUUCAAUACCAAAGAGAGAAAUAUAAGGUGUUCCUUAUGGUCAUGAAAUUUUUUUUUUCAAUCACCAAGUCAGAUAUCAUUCUAUCCAAAAUUAAUCAUAAAAUUCAUUGUAAUACGAAUUGAAUAGUAAAUAACAUCUAAUUAGCAAGAAUGUUUGUUAGUAACAGAAAGAAUGUAAUUAUCCAAUAAUUAAAAUUUCAAAAUAUGUAGUUAUUUUAAUUGUUAAUAAACCAUCAUAAAAAUUAAUUGUUUUUUUUUUUCAUAAAAAGUUUCUAAAAAUAUUUUCUAGAGCAUUCGUUAGCUUUUACCUAUAAGAGAAACCCCCAAAUUUGAAUAUCUUUUUUUCUAACUAACCAAUCUUUCUUUUUCUUUUUUCUUUUUUUGAGAAAGUUUUAACUAACCAAUCUAAUCACUUGAUAAUGAUUUCUUUUUUAAAACACUAUAUUGAAUUCAACCAUUUAUAGUUUCUAAAAAAAAUCAACAGUUUACAUCAUUUGGCUUAAUAAUUGUCAUAAGUAGAUAGUAAUAUAUAUAUAUAUAUAUAUAAUAUUAUACGUGGCAAGUGUUUUCCUAACGGCCAACGGGUCUAGACCCCAAGUGUGUUCAUAUAAGUAGACGUUAACAUCAAAAUGGGAGGAAAAAAAAAAACAGAAGCCGCGUGGAGAAGAGAGCAAGAAAGAGAGACAGAGAGAAGUGUUGGUGCAAACAAGAAGUAAAGCCUGUAAGUUAUACUUCUUUUUACUGUUUGUUUCUCUAAAUUCAGAUAGCGAAAAAUGAAUUCCUAACUUCUGAUUCCUAUUUCCAACAGCAAGAUUUCACUCCCAAAAUCAUUUUCCAGUGCUUACACUAUAGUUUCUUUCUUGCAUCUCUUUUAUUUUCUUUCCCGAUGUUCUGCAACCUGCAAGAGCUGGUUUUCUUUGGUUUCUUUCUUUCUUAUCCUUCUUGGGCAAACAAGUUUGCUUUAACUGCUUCUUACUGAAGAGAUAUGUCAUUCAACUCUGCUACAUCCCCUGAAACUCUUUUUUCUUUCAUGGAAGAUAUAUGCUUUUUUGUAGUUCUUAUUAUGAAUUCCCAAAUUCUUAUAGGGUCUCUUAUUUUAUGUUUCUUCGUUUCUUUUUUUCUUGGUUAGUGACUUGAGAUUUGAGAAUUUCGCGGAGGAUUAGUUUGGAAAUGAAGAGAUUAAGAGAUGAUGGUAGCUCUUUGCAGUCUGGUUUUUCAAGUGGAGACUCGUAAGUUUCUUUCUUUGUAUGCUUUUCUCUUUUGUGUUUUUUUUUUUUUUUACAUUUAUUUUUCUAGGUAGAAUUUUUUAUUCCUUAAGUUCUGUUUGUAAUUUUAGUUUUUUUGCCUUUUCAUUUAACCUUUGUAAUGCUUUUGCUUGGUUUUGUAAUGGGUUCUGCUUUUCUGUAAUUGGAAUUUAAAUUUAGGUGUCGUGUGACAUAUGAUAUGAAAGCUUGGAAGUUUUUCCUUUUGUGGGAUUUUUUUUUUCUUUUUGUUGAUACCGUAUCAGCAAGUUAUAAACUUUUGUACUCUCAUAGAGAUCACAUUGAUUAGUAUGAAUACGUUAUGUUUAUGGAAUAUUUGUACUAUAGAUGUAGUGGAGGCAGAGGAGGCAGUGAUCAAACGGAAAAUGAUGCCUCAACCUAUCUCAAGGAAGUGAAGGAAACGCUUCAAUACCAAAGAGAGAAAUAUAAGGUGUUCCUUAUGGUCAUGAAAUUUUUUUUUGCUCGAAGGUACAGUAAUUGCAUGUAUGAAGAUUUUGUCUUGGAUUAAUGGACAUGCAUCUAAAACCUAACGGAUUAUGCUAUUGUUUGUUCUUCCAGAACUGAUGCUUCUAAAGUCAUUGCCAAAGCGAAGGAAUUAUUUGAAGGGCAUAAUAACUUGAUUUCUGGGUUUAACAUCUUCUUGCGAAAGGCCCUUGACAUUAGUGAAUUUUGGAGAGCUAUAAUUAUGAUAAACGUGAAAUUAUUGUUUUGCUCUGCUGAAUUUCAACUGCAAAUGUUUAUUCCUAGCGUUUUAAUGAUGACCUUUGUUCCUACAGGAGUGCUUUCAAAUGAUGUUACUGUUUGUAUGAUAAUCUUAGACAUUCUAAAUGAGUUCCAGAAGGGGCACAAGGACAUAAAUACCGUCCACAAUCAGGUAAAUACAUGCUAUGGUUCUGUUUGUUUCACUGCUCUUGUUUUGAAAGGUUUUCUUGUUUAUGUAAUUUUCAGUAAUCUUAAGAGGUUUUUGAUUUACAAUUUUCAGAUUUCCAUUCUUCUUAAUGGUCAUGCGGAUUUAAUUGAUGAGUUCACUAGAUUUCUUCCUAAAACUGAACCUGUUUCAGCAGAGAAAUGGUAUGCCAAUAAAUCUAUUUCUUUCAUCAUUCUAUCAUUACUUCCAAUGUUAAUAGUGCUUACCAGCCAGAGCUUGACAAUGACAAAGCAAUAAAAAAAUUCCAAUGUUCAUUGCUCAAAUCCACACCCCUUUUGGGGGGGGAGGGGAGUUGUGAGAAAGAUCAGGGAAAUUUCAUUUUAAACUUUAGGGGUGUAAUAAAUAAAACCAUGUUGUUUAAAGAGUAACAAAUUAAAUUCUAAAAUUUUAAAAAGUAACAAAUAAAAUUAAUCUUUGAGAUUGUAACUAAGAAGUAACAAAUUAAGCAUCAGUCCUCUCUACAUCACACAUCUAAAUUUAUUUGAUUUUUUAUUUCAGAAGUAACUAAUUAAAUGCCACAUCUCUUAGUCAACCUUCUCAUUUAUUUUUUAAUUUUAUUUCAUCGAUGUCAAAGUCAUCUCAUUAAGAUAAAUAAAAUAUUUCUAACCUGCCCUAAACGAAACUUACUUGAGUCUAUUCCACACAAUUUUUUCUUGUCCCAAAGAGGGGACGGGAUGGGGAUAAGGCACUCGUGUUCAAACGCCGCAUCGUUAUCAUCCAUAAUCCCAAAAGACCAAACACCACGUUAGAACAAACAAAGAAAUAGAAUAUGAGAAGACACCCCCAAGGAUUUCACAUUUUAAGAACUAUUUUGCACUGGCUAGUGUAUUACUCUUUCUUCUCAGUAGGUCACACUCAAAUCACUUCCCCAGAACAACUAAAUUAAAUCAAACACAACUACAUAAUCUUAAGAAACUGUACCUAAUUUUUCUGUUAAAAUAAAGGGAAAAUUUCUCUUUAAAUUCUAUAGUUUAAGGGUGGUCUAAAUUAAACGAUAAUAGUAAAAGUACAUAUAAAAUGAAAAAACUUUUGAAAGAUAACAAAUUAAAUCCUAUCAAAAUUGUUGCAAAACCGUUUUGAUAAUAUGAUAGUUAGGAUGAGAGGGACUAAUGAAUUUCCAAAUGCAACAUUUCACACCCAAAAUCUUUUUUUUUUUUUCCCAGUGCUUACACCUCUUAUCUAAAUAUAUAAUUAGUAGUGACUAAUCUUCUCUCCUAAUACUCCUAUCCAAAAGAAAACAAGAAAAGCUGGUGUUCUGCAAUUUGCAAGGGCCGGUUUUCUUUUUCAAUAUCUUCUUUGGUUUCUUUUUUUCUUAUCCUUCUUUGCACACAAAUUUGCUUUCACUACUUAUUAUUCAAGACUCAUGUUGAUAAACUAUUGCAAUAUCUUUCUUGCAGUAUCUUUAGUCUGAUAAAAUUCUUCUUCUUCUUUUUUGUAAAUUCUCAAGUUCUUACUGGUCUUUCUUUUUGGGGGGGUGGAGGGUGAGGGGGGUGUUUAGUGAUUUGAGACUUUUGAGGUGGAUUAGUUUGGAAAUGAAGAGAUUAGGAGACAGUGGUGGCUCUUCGCAAUCUAAGCAGCUGUCUGCUUCUUCGCGUUGUGAUUUGUAAGUUUCUUUCUCUGUACGCUUUUCUCUUUACAUUUUUUUUUUAAAUAGAAUUUUUUAUUCUUUAAGUUCUGUUUGGUUUCCUAGAAAAUCUUUCUGAGUAAGGUUCAUUUUUUGCUUUCUCAAUUAACCUCUCUAAUGCUUUUGCUUGAUAUUUUUCUGUAUGAUGGAAUUUGCUGAAUUUUUGGAAUCAUGCUCUUGACUGGCUUCAUAAUGGAUUCUGCCUUUUUUAAUUGAAAUUUAAUUUUAGGCAAGUUUUAAUGUGAGGAUUUUUCAAGUGACUUUGACAUACGAUAUGAAUGCUUGGAAUUUUUUCCUUUUGUGGAAUUUUUAUUUUUUGGUUGAUGAUUUGAAGAUUACAAAAAUUAAUGGAGAGAGGGAUUUGAAUCUUAGUUCUCCAAGUAAAGGAGAGCAGGCAAUGCGAUGAGAAAUUUGAACACUGGGACUCAGUAUGCUGUUAAAAUUGACUGGGUAUCAGCAAGUUAUAAGCUGUACUCUCAUAGAGAUCACAUUGAUUGUACGAAUAUUCUGUGUUUAUGGAAAAACUGUACUAUAAAUGUAAUAGUUUGGGAUGAUGUGUAAUUAUUUUAAUUAUAUGUAUAUUUGUGGAUUUGAAGCUAUGCACAAUCCCAAACCCCAGUAGACGGUGGUGGUACUCUGGGGAAAGUAACAUUGAAUGACGGCUUGAACUAUCUCAAGGAAGUGAUGGAAACAUUUCAAGACCAAAGGGAGAAAUAUGACAUGUUCUGUAAGGUCAUGAAAGAUUUUAAGAAUCAAAGGUACACUCAUUGCAUUUAUGCAGUUUUUGUCCUGGAAUAAUGGAACAUUGCAUCUAAAACCUAAUGGAUUGUGCCAUUGUUUCUACUUGCAGAAUUGGCAUUGUUGAUGUCACGAUCAGGGUGAAGGAAUUAUUUGAAGGGCAUAAUAACUUGAUUUCUGGAUUUAACAUCUUCUUACCAAAGGGGUAUGAAAUAGCCCUUGAGGAUGAUGAGGCUAUCAACAUUUUGACCAAUAUAGAGGUGAAAAUAUUGUUUUGCUCUGUUGAAUUUCAACUGCAAAUGUUGGUUCCUUGCAGUUUAAUGAUGGCCUUUAUUCCUACAGAAACGCUUUCAAAAUGAUGAACAAGUUUAUAUUGCAUUCUCGGACAUUUUAAAUGAGUUCUGGAAGGGGCGCAAGGACGUAAAUAAGGUCUACUAUGAGGUAAAUAUAUGCAAUGGUUCUGUUUGUUUCACUGCUCUUGUUUUGGAAGUUUUUCUUGUUAAUGUAAUUUUCAGUAUUCUUAGAGGUUUUUUGUUUUACAAUUUUCAGAUUUCCAUUCUUCUUAAGGGUCAUGCGGAUUUAAUGGAUGAGAUCAAUAGAUUUCUUUUUUCCAAAAGCUGA